GUGGGGAAUUUUGCGCAAUGGGCGAAAGCCUGACGCAGCGACGCCGCGUGGAGGAUGAAGGCCCUUGGGUCGUAAACUCCUGUCGGGUGGGAAGAAAGGUCUCAAGUGAAUAACUCGGGAAUCUGACUGUACCACCGGAGGAAGCCCCGGCUAACUCCGUGCCAGCAGCCGCGGUAAUACGGAGGGGGCGAGCGUUGUUCGGAAUCAUUGGGCGUAAAGGGCGCGUAGGCGGCCUUGCAAGUCGGGUGUGAAAUCCCUCGGCUCAACCGAGGAACCGCACUCGAUACUGCCGGGCUAGAGUCCGGGAGGGGAUGGUGGAAUUCCCAGUGUAGCGGUGAAAUGCGUAGAUAUUGGGAAGAACACCGGUGGCGAAGGCGGCCAUCUGGACCGGUACUGACGCUGAGGCGCGAAAGCUAGGGGAGCGAAUGGGAUUAGAUACCCCAGUAGUCC
rnacentral:rRNA from 1 species